UUUUAUUGUUUAUACAGAUUUUAUAAUUUUUUAAUUUCUUUAUUAAUAUGUUAUAUCAAAUUAAAAUUUAUAAGUAAUUAUGAUUAAAUUAGUAUAAAUUGUUGUAAAAUAAAUUGUGAUUUUAAGAUUAAAUUAAGGAAUUCGGCAAUUCUAUUUUCUGCCUGUUUAUUAAAAACAUGUCUUUUUGUAAUUAUUUAAAGUCGGGCCUGCCCUAUGAUUAUUUAAAUGGCCGCGGUAUUUUGACCGUGCAAAGGUAGCAUAAUAAUUAGUUUCUUAAUUAGAAGCUGGUAUGAAGGGUUUGACAAGAAAAUUUCUGUCUCAAUUUAAAUAUUAGAAUUUAACUUUUGAGUUAAAAGGCUUAAAUUUUUUUAAAAGACGAGAAGACCCUAUAGAAUUUUACUUUUAAUUUAUUUAAAAUUUUAUGGUUUAUUUAUUUUUAGUUAAAUUAUUUGUUUUGUUGGGGUGAUGGAAAAACUAAAAUAACUUUUUCUUAUUUUAUUCAUUAAUUUAUGA
rnacentral:rRNA from 1 species